rnacentral:rRNA from 1 species
CGUAGGUGGCAAGCGUUGUCCGGAUUUAUUGGGUUUAAAGGGUGCGUAGGCGGUCUAUUAAGUCAGUGGUGAAAUACUCUAGCUCAACUAGAGGGGUGCCAUUGAUACUGAUGGACUUGAGUACAGAUGAGGUAGGCGGAAUUGACGGUGUAGCGGUGAAAUGCUUAGAUAUCGUCAAGAACACCUAUAGCGAAGGCAGCUUACUAGGCUGUAACUGACGCUGAGGCACGAAAGUGUGGGGAUCAAACAGGAUUAGUUACCCUGGUAGUCCACACUGUAAACGUUGAUUACUCGCUGUGUGCGAUAUACAGUACGCGGCCAAGCGAAAGCGAUAAGUAAUCCACCUGGGGAGUACGCCGGCAACGGUG